GAGAGUAAAACAGUACGUGAAAUUGUUGAAAGGGAAACGCUUGAAGUCAGUCGUGCCGGCGUUGGAUUCAGCUUGCUUCGCGGAGCAGGCGCAUUUCCGCGCAUGGCAGGUCAGCGUCAGUUUUGCGCGGCGUGAAAAGGCUCGGGUAAGGUAGCUCUCUUCGGGGAGUGUUAUAGACCUGGGCAGAUGCGCUGCGCGGGACUGAGGAUUGCAGCGGACACCCCCUCGGGGGCGCGGCGACCGAACCCUGCUCGGCCACCCUCGUUCGAUAGCGGACGCGGGAGCGGCAGUGCACCGGAACAGGCAAGCCAGCGGUUCGCUAAGGAUGCUGACGUAAUGGCUUUAAACGA
rnacentral:rRNA from 1 species